rnacentral:RNase_P_RNA from 1 species
UCGGCCGGGUGAUCGCAGCGCAAGCUGAGGAAAGUCCGGACUCCACAGAGCAGGGUGGUGGGUAACGCCCACCCGGGGUGACCCGCGGGACAGUGCCACAGAGAACAGACCGCCCACGCAAGUGGGUAAGGGUGAAACGGCGGUGUAAGAGACCACCGUGCGGGAUCGAGAGGUCCUGUGCAAGGCAAACCCCACCCGGAGCAAGAUCAAAUAGGGAACUGCAGGGGCGGCCCGUCCCGAGGCGCGGCAACGCGCGGCGGUUCCGGGUUGAUCGCCUAGACAAAUGACCGGGCCCGCGCAAGCGGGUGACAGAAUCCGGCUUAUGCGUCCGGAGUU